AUUGCAGUCUUCAUCCCAAAUCCUAUUAGGGCAUCUAGCUCCUGCCCCAAAAUACCUUUCCUCAUUCCUUAAAUUCUUAAAGAGGGGUCAAAGUUUUUUAUGCACAGCUAAAGCUCAAGCUUUAUGUGCACAUAUUCUUUGAGUACACCACACACUGCCUCACAUACACCGCAGAAUGAACAACUGAAGACAGGGAAGCGGGCAGGGUGACUUAAAGGGGAGCUGGGUGUGUACGGGGACCAGGUAGAGAAAGAAUUCUGUGGAGGCAUUGCAGCCCCUGUCCUUUGUUGCAGCAGCCAUAUGGUCUCUAAGCUCAGUCUACCACUGGGGAUUGGUAUUGGUGGUGGUGGUGACAAUGGUAAUGGAUCAAUGAUGGUGCUGGUGAGGCGAGGGUGGACACAUGGUGCAGUCACCUCAGGGUAGUCUGUGAAUAGUUGGAAACAAAACCCACCUUUUCUCCUAUGAUACUCUGAACAGUCAAUGCAGAACAUUCCCGAUCCAGACAUGCCCCAACUACCACUUCUCCAACACCAGCAGGGCUCCCCGACAACUUGCUCACUUCUGACUCUAACCAGUUAGUACAGACCUCUGGAUUAAGGCUGCAGUCCUGCAAGACUGCCCCCACCUUCAAACACGAUUGCAAGUAGUAGCUUCCCUGGUUACCCACAAUUUCUAUCUGACCUGGCUACUAAUCAUUUAUGAAAGGGUGUUACAAAGUUGAACAGCUGGAUAAAGGGGUGCAUACAGUAAGGUGUGAGUCCCCUCUGGGGCACCCCCUCCUGGAACCACCACACACUGGUCAUUCUGGAAGUGCUCUGAUACCACUUAACCUCUAUACUAUACUGAGAUGAUGGCAGAAGGCAGAUUUAGACAAUGGGACACCUGCAGUUUGGGUUGUUUUAAUCAGUUCCCUAGGGUCUGCUUCCUUAAAUGAUGCUGCGCGGAUUUCCUUUUGGGUACAAAAUACCAACGUGUGUUCCCAGCCUGUUGUUCCAUGGACAGGGAUGGACAGUCGCUGUCACUGUGGUAAGUGCGUGUUUGGAGCUACCCUCAUUCUCACCUUCCUGUGUGUGCAGGGAAGAGCCAAGGUGACCUGGAGCAGUCAGGAGACAGAAGGGCUGAGUGUGGGCUCCAUGGGCUCUGGAGGCGUGAGGUGAGGCAAGGUGUUUGCCUUUGCAGAACCUGUUUCUGUGUGAAAAAAGAUCCAAGGGAUAAUUUUGUUGAGCCUGCCUCAAGGGCAUGCGCUGAUGGUUGUGAAGAUGCUGCAGUUGUGAAAGGUCUUUGGGAGGAUCCAACGCUCCCACUUGAGUGUCUGGGGCCUCUUGACCAGUCAGCACCUGGCCGGCCAAUAGUACCGGCCCAGGCUGAUGGAUGAUAAAGAGAGGAGGGUGUGCAGAGGGAGCCAGGAGAUCACAGUGGCCCAUUCUGGACUGCAGGAGGCUGGGUGGCCUUGGAAGGGUCUGAAGACGCCCAUCUACCAGCUCUGUCUCUUGUAGCAGGUUCUGGUGACCCAGUUGGACCCUGAGUACUUGAGAAAGAGCUCUGGGAAUUGGGAAUGGGGCCUGAGACUGAGAAAUGAAGCCUGAAGUUUCCCCCAGCUUUGAGUUCAAGGUCCUAUUCUGGCUCCACUUCAGCAGAACUGUCCUAUCUUCCCACACCUCACCAGAAUCCCUCCUUGACACACUCUGGGCAGGCCCUGUGAGUCCUCUCAUCCCCUACCCGCUGCCUGGGCCUGUGAAGACUUGAACAGACACUGACAAGGUUUCUAACAGCGCAAGCCCCAUCCCUAAGAUUACUCCAGACUGACUAAGAGGACCUGCAUGGGAAAGCUCAAGACCAUCCCAGGAAUUGACUGUUUCUUCUAGCCAACACUUGAAGGUGGGGUCCCCUGCUUUCCAGUGUAUGUGGGAGAGCAGCAGCCUAACUUUGACAAGUAUCGUUUCUAACCAUUUGUCUCACAUGGACCAUCCACUGCCAUCUGCUUUUUAAAGUUUUGCACUUCGCUGGCUUUACUGUGGCCAGCUCACCCCCUCCUCCUCCACGUUCUUCCUUUACAACACCAGCCGCUCUGUACAAACUCAGGUGAGGUUCAGUUCACACUGGACUUUUCCCUGCCACCAUGGUGGGUACUAAGGUCUGUCCUCACCACUAUAACUGGUGCUGACUUUGUCUCCACUCCCGCCCCAACUGCCCAGCCCCUCCUUUUUUCCUGUUUUGGGCAGGACCUGGUUUGUUAUCUGACUGUGGGAAUUAUUUAAUGCCCGACUUCUCACCUAGAGAAGCCCCUUGAGGCAGGGAGCAGGUUUUAGCCUUCUCUUAGUCCUGCAUGUGAUGAAUGUAUUCAGGACACAUCAGAAAGGUUGACAUGAAUUUGGUGGGGUCCUGAUUAGGGCCAGAGACAAAGACUCUGCAGUCUACCAGCAGACACAGCUGGCUCACUGCUCCACCACUGAGUGAAUGAGGGGCAGCAGGUACCCUUGGUUCCACUCUUGGGAGUGAUUGAACUGGGUUUUCUGGAACAAGAAAAGACAAGUGCUUUGGUUUGUGUGCUGGUUCUGCAAAGUUGGCCAGAUUGCUUUCACUGUACUUUAAUUUCUUCAUCUAUAAAAUGGGACGACAGUAGUACUAACCUCCCACUUGUACUGUGUUAGGAUUAACUGAGCUGAGUUAGGUAGCAGGCACGGAAGCCUGGUGCCCAGUACACCAGUUCAACACGUGUGACCUCUUAGUGGGUUCUGGAGGCCUUGUCACCUCCAGGCCUGUGCCUCCAGGUGACUUCUGCGUCUUUGUUCACUUGUGGACUCCUCUCUCUCAUCAGUAAUUAUGUCCAACGUCUGGUAGCAGAGUUUAUACCUUAUUUGGUUUUCAAUACUACUUGUAUAGGAGGAAUUGUUAUAUGCAUUUAAAAAUAUUCUUUGUCUCUUUCUUUCUUUGGAGUUUUGUUGAAGGACUUCAGGUUAAAAUAAGUAUUAAAAUUUGCAAAAUCAAAUGUUGAUUUGUAAGAAGGUGAAGUCAAGGCUGGGGAGAUAUCUCAGUGAUAGAGAAGAGGUGUUUUCCUGGCAGGCAAGAGGCUCGGGGCUGGAUCUACAGCACCAGGAAAAAUAAAUAAAUAAAGACACAAAGGAUUAAGCAAAGGAGAGUCUAGGUUUCCAUGAAAACUUCUUCUCACCCAAUUCUUCUAGGAUAUAUAGUCCACUUUCUGCUUGCAAAUUUAUUUCCAGAAAGGAGGGCUGGGGUUCAUAUCAUCAUUCUUUUUUUUAAAUGUUGCACAUACUUUUCUUGCUACUCCUUUUGUUUUGCUUUGUUAAAGUAUGGGUUUUCUUUAUUUAAACCACUUUGUCACUUGUCCUUUACCUUUGCUUCUAUUAUUCUUCAUUUGUGCUUUUAUGUUGAAUAAAAUUUCUAUAUCUUUACUCUGUUCCUCUGAUGCCUUAGAAACUAUAGACUAUGUUUCUAGUCUUUCAAUAUUUACCUCAGAUUUUGAACAUGUGGAUUUGACUAUACAUUUUUCUAAAAUUCUUCUGAGCCUCUAUUUUUUCCCUAAACAAGGACCUAAACAUGUUUCAGGCACACACUGAAUACCAAGCCCACCUGUCUUACUAUUGUUUCUAGGAACUUUAGUAUGGCCUGAAAAAAAAAAUAAUGGAACUUCUUUUUAUAGAAAAUGGCAACUAUGCACAAUAGGAGAGAGAAGUGAUGUUCGUGUCGCUGGUUUCAAUGAUUAUGAACAUUUUGCCAAUCUUGUUCCACUCUGUUGAGCUUUUCUGCUCUGCUCCCCAGCAGGAGCAUUUUAAAGCAAAUCUAUGGCAUUAUGAUCAUUUUACCCAUGCACACUUUAGAAUGAAUUCUGACAGAUAAAAAAACGUAACCACAAUAUCCAUAAAUAUGCCUAAAAAGUAGAACACUUCUUCAUAACACCCAAUGCUUAACACGUAUUCAAAUAUCCCUGACUUUAUCAAGCAUGUCUUUUCUGCACUCCUCUGCCCGAAUCUGGAUACCCAAAGGUGCGUUCUUGCAUUUGGCUUGUACGUCUUUUAAGUUCUUUAGCAUUAGGGGUUUUUUUUUUUUUUUCACAUGCUGUAUAAAAUUAUCACAAAAUUCAUUUUCACAUUU
rnacentral:lncRNA from 1 species